rnacentral:rRNA from 3 species
GGUUAAGCGACUAAGCGUACACGGUGGAUGCCCUGGCAGUCAGAGGCGAUGAAGGGCGUGCUAAUCUGCGAUAAGCGCCGGUAAGGUGAUAUGAACCGUUAUAACCGGCGAUACCCGAAUGGGGAAACCCAGUGUGACUCGUCACACUAUCAUUAACUGAAUCCAUAGGUUAAUGAGGCGAACCGGGGGAACUGAAACAUCUAAGUACCCCGAGGAAAAGAAAUCAACCGAGAUUCCCCCAGUAGCGGCGAGCGAACGGGGAGGAGCCCAGAGCCUGAAUCAGCAUGUGUGUUAGUGGAAGCGUCUGGAAAGACGCGCGAUACAGGGUGACAGCCCCGUACACAAAAGCGU